AACGGUGCUCCUGCCAUCAUUUCAGCUUCUCUCCUCAGGCAGGGGUGCCCACGAGAGGGGAGCCUUGCCCAGUCUUGGCUAGAGGUGGACUCAGGCCCCACCUUCCUUCCUAGGCUGGGGGCCCUGGCCUGUCUCCUUCCUGGGGACACAGAAGGGGACUCUGGGGUUGGGGUGAGGGGAUUCUGUGACACGUUUGUGAGUAAAGCUCAGUGCUCCCUGCAGCCCUAGAUUCCCACAUGUGCCGGGUCUGUCCUGCCGAUGCCCUUAGAACCUCGGAGGUGCCCUGGCCUCAGCCUGGCCCUCCUCAUCUGAGGAAGGACACCUCUGACAGCGUGUGCCGGGUGGGGUGGAUCCAGCACUGAGUGUGGCUGUUUUGGGGGUGAGGGUCCCCCAAGCAGGCUGGGGUCAAGGUCAGCAUUAAAAGGCCCCCUCAGCAAGGGGCUUGGGGUCUCAGGCCGGCCCCUGUAGAUGAGGCUGAAGCUGUGACAGUGGGGAGUGAAUGAGCCCUUCCCCUCUUGACCCCUGACACCGGGAUUCAGUGAUAAAGGAAUGCUCUUAAAGUUCUUGGGUCCCCUGGCUCCUUUAUUUCCAUCUCAAGCCCAACCCUAGAAACCAUGGAUGAUUCAGAGCCCCAGCAGGGACACCUGGGAAACCAAAGGCCAGGAGGGUUCAAGUCAGAGGCAAGCGCUCACCUCUGCCCUCCUGAAUUAGAGAUGGUUCUCCUUGAUGGGAUGAGAGACCACUUCUGCUUCUCCAGCCUCGUGGAGGUGGACCUUUCAUGGCCCAAGAAACACAAAGCACAGGAUUUUCCAGGAUCAUUUCUCCAGGUGCCUUUUGAGCAUAGCAUCCUGACGUUCUGAGGAUGUACAUUUUAUUGCAACCAAAGUUCCUACUUGGCUUGCCCCAGUCUUGUGGGUCAGACCUAGUCCAACUGGGGAGCUGCAUUGAAAGACUGACCUGGAGAGGGGCACAGAGCGUGGCUUCAAAGAGACGGCUUCAGACAGCCCCUCCAACUCCCAUUUGGGGCAUCUGAGUUGGAACGGAAAAAGUAAAACCGUCUCUAUUUGCAGAUUUAUAGAAUAUAUAUAGAAAACCCUUAAGCCUCUGCAAAAAGGCUGUUUGAACUAUGAACAAAUUCAGUAAAGCUGCAGGAUAGAAAAUCCUGCUUCCAAACUGUGUGAAAAACCUAGACAGCAUAUUACAAAGCAGAGACGUCACUUUGCCAACAAAGGUCCAUCUAGUCACUGCUAUGGUUUUUCCAGUAGUCAUGUGCACAUGUGAGAGCUGGACCAUAAAGAAAGCUGAGUGCCGAAGAAUUGAUGCUUUUGAACUGUGGUGUUGGAGAAGGCUCUUGAGAGUCCCUUGGACUGCAAGGAGAUCCAACCAGUCCAUCCUAAAGGAGAUCAGUCCUGGGUGUUCAUUGGAAGGACUGAUGUUGAAGCUGAAACUCUAAUACUUUGGCCACCUGAUGCGAAGAGCUGACUCAUUGGAAAAGACCCUGAUGCUGGGAAAGAUCGAAGGCAGGAGAAGGGGAUGACAGAGGAUGAGAUGAUUGGAUGGCAUCACCAACUCAAUGGACAUGAGUUUGAGCAAGCUCUGGGACUUGGGGAUGGACAGGGAAGCCUGGCAUGCUGCAGUCCAUGGUGUCGCCAAGAGUCAGACGUGACUGAGUGACUGAACAACAAGCGUGUGACUUUGGGCACUUCACCACACCUCUGGCUCAUUUUGGCAUGUGUACAGGGUGAUAGUCCCAGGGAGAGAGAGGGACAGAAGAUUAGACAGGCGGAGGGCUGCCCAUGGGCUGGCCCGAGAAGAGGUUGAUAAGACUCAUGAUUGUCAUCAGCUCUUCCUGUCCCCCACCCCACCCUGUCAUGAGACCAACAUCAUUCUAACGGGUACAGGGGCCUGCCCUCUCUGAAUUCACUCUGUCGGGCUCACCCCUUCCCCUGGGAGGUUAGAAGGAACCAGGAAUAAAAUAGCAAGUUGGUUGAUUGAAAGACUGGCU
ensembl:lncRNA